rnacentral:rRNA from 1 species
UGCCAGCCGCCGCGGUAAUACGGAGGGGGUUAGCGUUGUUCGGAAUUACUGGGUGUAAAGAGCAUGUAGGCGGAUGAAUUAGUCAGAGGUGAAAGCCCCGAGCUCAACUCGGGAACUGCCUUUGAUACUGUUCAUCUUGAGUCCGAGAGAGGCUAGUGGAAUUCCCAGUGUAGAGGUGAAAUUCGUAGAUAUUGGGAAGAACACCAGUGGCGAAGGCGGCUAACUGGCUCGGUACUGACGCUGAGAUGCGAAAGCGUGGGGAGCAAACAGGAUUAGAUA